CAGGAAGGAGAAAACAUUUUCUAUUUGGCAGUUGAAGAUAUAGAAACAGACACGGAGCUUCUGAUUGGCUACCUGGAUAGUGACAUGGAGGCCGAGGAGGAAGAACAGCAAAUUAUGACAGUCAUCAAAGAAGGGGAUGUUGAAAAUUCUAGAAGACAAUCAACAGCGGGCAGAAAAGAUCGCCUUGGCUGUAAAGAGGACUAUGCUUGUCCUCAAUGUGAAUCGAGUUUUACCAGUGAGGAUAUUCUUGCUGAGCAUCUCCAGACAUUGCACCAGAAACCCACAGAGGAGAAAGAAUUUAAGUGCAAAAACUGUGGGAAGAAAUUCCCAGUUAAGCAGGCUUUGCAAAGACAGUGCGUAUAUUAAAGAAAUAUCUUUAAAAUUAUAAGCUAACACAGUUUAUUCCAUUCAGCUUAACUCAUAGUUUUUAACCUGUGUGUGUGUGUGUGUGCGCACACGCGCACGCGCAUGUUUGUGUGUGAAUGAGAGAUUAAGCAUUUUACAUUGGUAUUGUCAUUAACUCUUCUUAGUAU
rnacentral:sRNA from 1 species